AUUGAACGCUGGCGGCAGGCCUAAUACAUGCAAGUCGAGCGAGCGGCGGACGGGUGAGUAAUGGAUGGGGAUCUGCCUGAUGGAGGGGGAUAACUACUGGAAACGGUGGCUAAUACCGCAUACUCUCGGAGGAACCCAUAUGGGAUUAGCUAGUAGGUGGGGUAAAGGCGCACCUAGGCGACGAUCUAUAGCUGGUCUGAGAGGAUGAUCAGCCACACUGGGACUGAGACACGGCCCAGACUCCUACGGGAGGCAGCAGUGGGGAAUAUUGCGCAAUGGGGGCAACCCUGACGCAGCCAUGCCGCGUGAAUGAAGAAGGCCUUCGGGUUGUAAAGUUCUUUCGGUAGCGAGGCGUUAACUACAGAAGAAGCACCGGCUAACUCCGUGCCAGCAGCCGCGGUAAUUC
rnacentral:rRNA from 1 species